rnacentral:rRNA from 1 species
AUCGCUGGCAGUAUAGCAGGCCUUGCAUUUGCACUUCGCAAUUAAGCCGAACACAUCGCAGCGAAUCGCGGCGGCGGCAUCCCCCAUUGCCAUCCGUGGCCUCAUCUCUGACCUCUCGCCGCCCCCGGCGUCGCCGACGCGAUGCCUCCGCUCCCGAGGCUCCUCCACCGCCACCUCUCCGUCCCGUUCGCGCGCCGCCUCACCCCUUGCCAUCCGUGUCCGCCCGCGGCCGACGUCUUCCUCCGUCGCGGGCUCGCAUCUUCCUCCGCCGCCGCGGCCGCCGCUGCGGCAGCGGGCCGGGAGAAGAGCUCUAGGAAGACCCUGGGUUACCUUGUCGGCGUGGCAGUCGCCAUGGUCGGCGCCUCCUACGCGGCCGUCCCGCUCUACCGCCGGUUCUGCCAGGCCACCGGGUACGGCGGCACCGUCCAGCGCCGCGAGAGUGUAGAAGAGAAGAUCUCCCGACAUGCUCGAGUCGGAACGACACCAUCAAGAGAGAUAGUUAUCCAAUUUAAUGCUGAUGUUGCUGAUGGAAUGCCAUGGAAGUUUAUUCCUACGCAGAGAGAGGUGAAGGUUAAACCUGGUGAAAGUGCUCUUGCAUUUUAUACUGCUGAAAAUAGCAGUUCAGCUCCAAUUACUGGUGUGUCCACGUAUAAUGUUGCUCCGAUGAAGGCUGCAAUUUACUUCAAUAAAAUACAAUGUUUCUGCUUUGAGGAGCAAACACUUCUUCCAGGGGAGCAGAUUGACAUGCCGGUAUUCUUCUACAUUGACCCUGAGUUUGAGACGGACCCCAAAAUGGACGGGGUGAACAACAUAGUUCUUUCCUAUACAUUCUUUAAGGUGAAAGAGUAGAAAUGAUUGUAAGUGACCCGUAACAUUAAUUCUAUUGAAACCGUUACGCAAAUUGUGUUCCUAAAAACUCCUUCUCAUGUAACACCAAGAGUAAAAGGUUAGGUUUUUCAUGUAGUUAUUAGUUCACAUGGUUUGGUGGAAAUUUUUGCAAAUAAUCUGUAAGGAUUGUUCCGAUGCAGUCAAAUUGGAGAAACAGUUUUGGGCCGAUCUGAAGAAUCGAGGAAGGGGAAUGAAUGUAUUGAUGGGAUCAGGAAACUUUAUCACGUUUGUUUGGACCUAAAUGGUUAAUGUAUUUUUUUCCUGGUAAUGUACGUCUGAACCCAGGCUCAGAUGCUCGUGAUGAACAGUAAAUUCAGGAAAAGUAGCAACAACAAAAAUAAGAAAGAAG